CCUACGGGAGGCAGCAGUAGGGAAUCUUCCACAAUGGACGAAAGUCUGAUGGAGCAACGCCGCGUGAGUGAAGAAGGGUUUCGGCUCGGAAAGCUCUGUUGGUAGUGAAGAAAGAUAGAGGUAGUAACUGGCCUUGAGUUGACGGUAAUUACUGAGAAAGUCACGGCUAACUACGUGCCAGCAGCCGCGGUAAUACGUAGGUGGCAUGCGUUGUCCGGAUUUAUUGGGCGUAAAGCGAGUGCAGGCGGUUCCAUAAGUCUGAGGUGAAAGCCUUCGGCUCAACCGGAGAAUUGCAUCAGAAACUUUUGAACUUGAGUGCAGCCGAGGAGAGUGGAACUCCAUGUGUCGCGGU
rnacentral:rRNA from 1 species